GAUGAACGCUGGCGGCGUGCUUAACACAUGCAAGUCGAACGGAAAGGCUCCUGCUUGCAGGGGUACUCGAGUGGCGAACGGGUGAGUAACACGUGGGUGAUCUGCCCUGCACUUCGGGAUAAGCCUUGGAAACUGGGUCUAAUACCGGAUAGGACCACAUUUUGGACGGUGUGGUGGAAAGUUUUUCGGUGUGGGAUGAGCUCGCGGCCUAUCAGCUUGUUGGUGGGGUAAUGGCCUACCAAGGCGGCGACGGGUAGCCGGCCUGAGAGGGUGUACGGCCACAUUGGGACUACGAUACGGACCAGUCUCCUACGGGAGGCAGCAGUGGAGAAUAUUGCACAAUGGGCGCAAGCCUGAUGCAGCGACGCCGCGUGGGGGAUGACGGCCUUCGGGUUGUAAACUACUUUCGCUAGGGACGAAGCGCAAGUGACGGUACCUGGAGAAGAAGCACCGGCUAACUACGUG
rnacentral:rRNA from 1 species